rnacentral:tRNA from 1 species
AAUAAAGUGCCUGAAAAAGGAUUAUUUUGAUAGAAUAAAUUAUGUAUUAUAAUUUUACCUUUA